GACGAACGCUGGCGGCGUGCUUAACACAUGCAAGUCGAACGGAAAGGCCCUGCUUUUGUGGGGUGCUCGAGUGGCGAACGGGUGAGUAACACGUGAGUAACCUGCCCUUGACUUUGGGAUAACUUCAGGAAACUGGGGCUAAUACCGGAUAGGAGCUCCUGCUGCAUGGUGGGGGUUGGAAAGUUUCGGCGGUUGGGGAUGGACUCGCGGCUUAUCAGCUUGUUGGUGGGGUAGUGGCUUACCAAGGCUUUGACGGGUAGCCGGCCUGAGAGGGUGACCGGCACCAUGGGGACUGGGAUAGGGCCCAGACUCGUACGGGAGGCAGCGGGGGGGAAUAUGGCACAAGGGGGGGAGGCCUGAGGCAGCAACGCCGGGUGGGGGAGGGCGGCCUUCGGGUGGUAACCCGUUUUCGCCUGUGACGAAGCGGGGGUGACGGUAAUGGGUAAAGAAGCACCGGCUAACUACGU
rnacentral:rRNA from 1 species